rnacentral:rRNA from 1 species
UACAGAGGUCUCAAGCGUUGUUCGGAUUCAUUGGGCGUAAAGGGUGCGUAGGUGGCGUGGUAAGUCGGGUGUGAAAUUUCGGAGCUUAACUCCGAAACUGCAUUCGAUACUGCUGUGCUUGAGGACUGGAGAGGAGACUGGAAUUUACGGUGUAGCAGUGAAAUGCGUAGAGAUCGUAGGGAAGACCAGUGGCGAAGGCGGGUCUCUGGACAGUUCCUGACACUGAGGCACGAAGGCCAGGGGAGCAAACGGG